CCUACGGGAGGCAGCAGUGAGGAAUAUUGGUCAAUGGACGAAAGUCUGAACCAGCCAUGCCGCGUGCAGGAAGACGGCUCUCUGAGUUGAAAACUCCUUUUGUAGGGGGGUAAACGCAGAUACGUGUAUCUGUCUGAAAGUAUCGUACGAAUAAGGAACGGCUAACUCCAUGCCAGCAGCCGCGGUAAUACGGAGGAUUCAAGCGUUAUCCGGAUUUAUUGGGUUUAAAGGGUUCGUAGGCGGUCGGAUAAGUUAGAGGUGAAAUCCCGAGGCUCAACUUCGGAAUUGCAUCUGAUACUGUUCGGCUAGAGAGUAGUAGCGGUAGGCGGAAUGUAUGGUGUAGCGGUGAAAUGCGUAGAGAU
rnacentral:rRNA from 1 species